rnacentral:rRNA from 1 species
AAAAGAACUUUGAAGAGAGAGUUCAAAAGGGCGUGAAACCGCUUAGAAGAAAACGGACGGAGCCGUCGGGGGCCUUCGGGAAUCAGUCGGACGAUACGCUAAUUCCGUCGCGAUCGGGAACGCAAGUCCCGUCGUGAUAGUAAAUUGAUGGUGUUCGUUCGGCGCAUUUCUCGAAGGUAUGCACUGCGACCGAUACGAAAGGCCAGCGAAGCCGGCGGAUUGAGGGCGAGACCUCUCGCGGGGACUCGUAACCAGUCCGUUGGUGUUUUAGUCGUUGGACCGCAGUAUGUAUCGAUAGCCUACGAAAAAUACGAGUCGGCCGUAAAAGCUCGCUCGAAUGAUGGAUAGUCGGUCGAUACGGUUGGUACCUGCUCGCAGGUGCCGAUCUAUUAGGCUCGGCUUUGAAGUUAUCGGCGACGUUUCGACUCGUCGGCGUCGGCAGUGUCAGUGUCGGUCACCCGUCCGACCCGUCUUGAAACACGGACCAAGGAGUCUAACAUAUGCGCGAGCUAAUGGGUGGAAAACCCAAAAGCGAAAUAAAAGUAAAGGCCGUUUCGGACGGCUAAGGUACGAUCCUUGAAUCCGAGCGAUUCUAGGCGCAGUACCGUCCCGUCCCGACCGCACGUCGGUAGGGCGGAGAUAGAGUGCAUACGUUGGGACCCGAAAGAUGGUGAACUAUGCCUGAGCAGGCGAAGCCAGAUGAAACUCUGGU